GCCCUGUGAUCCAUCCAAUAGCUGACUGUGAGCAGAAGAUGUUCUUCUUAAGGUGAAGUUUCAUUGGCUGGAGUUUAAAUUGAGUACUAUGAAUGCUUCGUUUGCAUGGAGAGACCUUCUAGGAAUCCCUUGUACUUGCUGGACAGAUUCUUAUCAGGAAAGAGGAAGUUGCCAAGGACCAUGUGAAAUUCCUCAGGUGGGAGAUUGGGGGUUAGGUUCCCCAGAUCAGAGAGAGAAGAGGAAGCCCUGGUAAGAAAUGGGAGUCCUCCAUUUUGCUCAGAGGAGCCAUCUGGACAUGGUAGACUACAACCUUAGUGGCAAUGUGCAAUAAAGGAACAAAUGAAAUAUAAGAAUCUGCAUAGGUCUUCAACAAAUGCUACAUGAUUUUACAAGAGUUCAACAUGUAUGGAUCAUGAUGCUGAAGGACAACCAUAUUCUCCAUCUGUGUGUGUGUUGAAGUGUGUAUGCAUGUAUCUGUGUAGACGUUUAAGGCUAGAGGAGGACAUCAAAUAUCCUAUCCCUUUUCACUUGAAACGGUCUUUUCACUGAACCUGCCGUUGUACUGGUGUCAGCUUGCUCCAGUGAUCUUCCUGUCUUGGCCCCUGCAGGUGCUGGUAUGGACAUUUUUUUUGUUGUUGUUGUUUUUCUGUGGUUUUUUUUGUUUGUUUUUUGUUUUUUUUGUUUUUUUUUUUGUUUUUUUUUUGAGACAGGGUUUUUCUGUAUAGCCCUGGCUGUCCUGGAACUCACUUUGUAGACCAGGCCUGCCUCAAACUCAGAAAUCCGCCUGCCUCUGCCUCACCACAUCUGGCUACAUGCCAGCUUUUUAAUGUGGGUGCUGGAAUCUAACGCAGGUCUUCCUACUUGUACAGCAGAUGUUCUCCUCCACUGAGCCAUCUCUUUGUUUCCCUUCCCUUAUGCUGUCCCUCCAUAUUGUUGUCUUGCUAUGUGGAAACCUUUUAUUUGAUGCAGUCACACUUUUCUCACUCUGUGCUUUGAUCUUAUGUCCAAAAAGUCACUACUACAACUAAUGUCAAGAAGUUUCCAGAAUAUUUUCAAAAAGCAGGUUCUAAUAUGGGGGAAGCAAAUGCUGGGAGACAGCAGGACUUACACUAUCCAAGACUGUGUAAACGGUAUUAGGAUACAAAAAGCUCAUGAGCUAUUUAUCAUCUACUCUGGAUAUGAUCCCAGAGUUCCAGUGCUCCAGCAUUAGCCUGUGUCUGCGGGGAGAGGAGCGUCACAUUCCCUCAAUGAUUAAGCAAACGCAUUGGAGAUGGAGUAAGAGCCAUGGCUCUGCUCUGUCUUGACCUUCUCUCAAAACAGAAGCUCCUUCAUGCUGAUAACAUUUUUGAGUAAACCUAAAUGGAGUAAUGCAAGGGGAAAGGGAAAGAGGUCCAGUCCUCCAGUGUCCUCUGAACAGAGGUUAAAUUGUGUAACCAUCAAAGUUUCUUCAGCUGCAGAAUCCCUCAUGAGUAUGAGUCCUGGGUGUGUCUUUACAAGGCUUUGGGGAGCUUUGUGUAAUAGAUCAGGUUUGGGAUUGUAAUUCUGCAGGGUCUGUGCAUGAUAGAGAGUCAGGAGAUGAAGGGAAGAGGGGAGAAGAGAAUGUUUAAUCGAUGCUUCCAAGUUGCCUUCUAGUUCAUCAUACCAGUUUAUAGGCUCACCAAUGCUCGACAAGAGCUUUCUUUUCUUUCUCCCACGUGUCCAUGCAGUAUUAUCAACUAACUCACUGCCUGGCAACCUGAAGAUGGUAACUGAGAUCCCUUGAUUCUUUUGAGAGCAAUGGUGAGCAUUUUUCAUCCUUCCAUUGUUUAUUAUAGUUUUCUGUCGCCUACCUAGUCAUAUACUGUGACCAUAUUGAAAAUAAAAAUUUGAAUAUACC
rnacentral:lncRNA from 1 species